rnacentral:lncRNA from 13 species
CCUCAAUUACCAGAAAGUGAGUGUGGAAUCUUGUACAGAAGAGAGCCAGAGUUCCGUGUGCAGACUCUGUCCAAAUCUCCAGCUGGUCCUUGAACCAUGCAUGCAGGGAGCAGGCUGCAAACAGUUCAGCUAAGGAAAACAAUAAUAAAGACAAACUGAGAUCCAAGCUGCUGUCUACUGCAGUGGCAUGGCCCUCCAGAAUGAACUGCAAGCUUGGAUGAGGCUCUGGAGAGCACUUACAUCCAUUGUUUAAGCUCCAAGAGGCUCGGAUUCCAUGAACUUUGCCAAUGAGAAGGUUGAAAAAUUGGAGGUGAGUGUGGAUGGAGCAGCUGCCUAUUAGCAAAUUUGGCCAAAUGGUGGUGCUAUAAGCCAGAAAAUCAAAGCACAUUCUAGUAGCCAGGGUUAGACUGGAACAAUGGUCUCUGCACCUACAAGGCCACCAGGGGGCAGAGGGAGGUAAUACUGCUUUUCUCAGGGGCCAGCUGGAGUCACCAGUCAACAAUGUGCUCGAUGCCGUGGCUUUGAGAGGCUGAGGUUUGAGGUCACGAGUUCAAGACCAGCCUGGGCAACAUGGUGAAACCCUGUCUCUACUAAAAAUACAAGAAAUUAGCUGGGCGUGGUGGUGUGAACCUCAGGAGGCUGAGGCAGGAAAAUCUCUUGAACCCGAGAGGCAAUGGUUGCAGUGAGCUGAGAUCAUGCCAUUGCAUUACAGCCUGGGUGACAGAGUGAGACUCUAUCUCAGAAAAACAAAACGAAAAAG